rnacentral:rRNA from 1 species
AUUGAACGCUGGCGGCAUGCUUUACACAUGCAAGUCGAACGGUAACAGGCCUUCGGGUGCUGACGAGUGGCGAACGGGUGAGUAAUGCAUCGGAACGUGCCCAGAGGUGGGGGAUAACGCAGCGAAAGCUGUGCUAAUACCGCAUGUGAUCUGAGGAUGAAAGCGGGGGACCAGGCAGCAAUGUUUGGCCUCGCGCCUUUGGAGCGGCCGAUGUCAGAUUAGGUAGUUGGUGGGGUAAAGGCCUACCAAGCCGACGAUCUGUAGCUGGUCUGAGAGGACGAACAGCCACACUGGGACUGAGGCACGGCCCAGACUCCUACGGGAGGCAGCAGUGGGGAAUUUUGGACAAUGGGCGCAAGCCUGAUCCAGCAAUGCCGCGUGCGGGAAGAAGGCCUUCGGGUUGUAAACCGCUUUUGUACGGAACGAAAAGGCUCUGGCUAAUACCUGGGGCUGAUGACGGUACCGUAAGAAUAAGCACCGGCUAACUACGUG